rnacentral:rRNA from 1 species
GGCCCACCAAGGCGACGAUCAGUAGGGGUUCUGAGAGGAAGGUCCCCCACAUUGGAACUGAGACACGGUCCAAACUCCUACGGGAGGCAGCAGUGAGGAAUAUUGGUCAAUGGGCGAGAGCCUGAACCAGCCAAGUAGCGUGCAGGAUGACGGCCCUAUGGGUUGUAAACUGCUUUUAUAAGGGAACAAAGUGAGUCUCGUGAGACUUUUUGCAUGUACCUUAUGAAUAAGGACCGGCUAAUUCCGUGCCAGCAGCCGCGGUAAUACGGAAGGUCCGGGCGUUAUCCGGAUUUAUUGGGUUUAAAGGGAGCGUAGGCCGGAGAUUAAGCGUGUUGUGAAAUGUAGACGCUCAACGUCUGCACUGCAGCGCGAACUGGUUUCCUUGAGUACGCACAAAGUGGGCGGAAUUCGUGGUGUAGCGGUGAAAUGCUUAGAUAUCACGAAGAACUCCGAUUGCGAAGGCAGCUCACUGGAGCGCAACUGACGCUGAAGCUCGAAAGUGCGGGUAUCGAACAGGAUUAGAUACCCUGGUAGUCCGCACGGUAAACGAUGGAUGCCCGCUGUUGGUCUGAAUAGGUCAGCGGCCAAGCGAA